AUCCGGCUGACGAAUCCUAAAUAGGACGAAACACGCGCCCCGGAU
rfam:Schistosoma curassoni strain Dakar, Senegal genome assembly, scaffold: SCTD_scaffold0000560